AGACACUGGAGCAGCUGCCACUGAGAAUCGGGUUGUAUACGGAGGAUCUAGUCAUCGCUCUUUUCAUCGGGGGAAAAAAAAGCCAAAGCCAAAAAAGCUUCUCCCCACGUGAAAAAGAUACAGCCAGAGUACUACAGGGUGCAACCUUGGAUUGUGAUGCAGUGAGGAGAAAGAAGAGAGAAAGCAACAGACAUGAAGGGAGGAGAGAGAGAGAGAUGUGACAUGAAUAACCACAUUAUGAUUACCUCAACCUCGGACGCACCGCAACCCUCCCACUCAAAAGACUUUGUAAUUAAAAAUCAAGACAGCAAAAAGCUUGGGAAAUUACUCUGAGUGUCUGGACGGAAGAAAGAAAAUGAGACGAUGGGAGAAGAUGAAGUGAGAUGGGGGCUGAGGAGCCUCUGAGACAUGAGAGGAAAAACAAGAUGGACAAAGUGGAAUUGGAACUAAAAGUUGCCUGUGCCUGCCACAAACGGCAGGGGGGAAAUAGCUUUAAUUUGUCAAUCGAGUGCACAGGAAUCAUAUAAUGCAGAGUCUGCUCUGGAGUUCUGCUGCAGAGCCACUCAGGAGAUGUUUGCCUGACAUUUGCUGUCCUUCCCGACUGUUUUUUUUCUUUUUUCUUCUUUACUGCACCAUUGGAUCAACUUCACAUGUCUUUCACCUUUUUUAAAAACAUUUUUUGAUCCAUUUUCUGCCUGUGGCCACACCAGCAUUGGGAAUUAAACUAAAGCAAAUAUUUAAAAUAACUCGAGUGAAACAAAACAGGUGGAAAGUGUGGGAACACUGAGGUUGUUGGAAAUUUCCUACAGACUAAGAUAAAUGAUUUUUCUUAGUACCAGUUUAAAAAAGAGACAAAGGAAAAACAACUCAGUCACGCAGAGAAAAUUAACAGCAACCAUAAAUUCCAGCUCAU